AUUGAACGCUGGCGGCAUGCCUUACACAUGCAAGUCGAACGGCAGCACGGGUACUUGCACCUGGUGGCGAGUGGCGAACGGGUGAGUAAUACAUCGGAACAUGUCCUGUAGUGGGGGAUAGCCCGGCGAAAGCCGGAUUAAUACCGCAUACGAUCUACGGAUGAAAGCGGGGGACCUUCGGGCCUCGCGCUAUAGGGUUGGCCGAUGGCUGAUUAGCUAGUUGGUGGGGUAAAGGCCUACCAAGGCGACGAUCAGUAGCUGGUCUGAGAGGACGACCAGCCACGCUGGGACUGAGUACGGGCCGAGACUACUGAGGGAGGCAGCAGUGGGGAAUUUUGGACAAUGGGCUAAAGCCUGAGCCAGCAAUGCCGCGGGGAUGAGGAAGGCGUUCGGGUUGGAAAGGACGGUUGUCCGGAAAGAAAUACUUGGCCCUAAUACGGUCGGGGGAUGACGGUACCGGAAGAAUAAGCACCGGCUAACUACGUG
rnacentral:rRNA from 1 species